rnacentral:rRNA from 1 species
UGAACGCUAGCUACAGGCUUAACACAUGCAAGUCGAGGGGCAGCAUGGUCUUAGCUUGCUAAGGCCGAUGGCGACCGGCGCACGGGUGAGUAACACGUAUCCAACCUGCCGUCUACUCUUGGACAGCCUUCUGAAAGGAAGAUUAAUACAAGAUGGCAUCAUGAGUCCACAUGUUCACAUGAUUAAAGGUAUUCCGGUAGACGAUGGGGAUGCGUUCCAUUAGAUAGUAGGCGGGGUAACGGCCCACCUAGUCUUCGAUGGAUAGGGGUUCUGAGAGGAAGGUCCCCCACAUUGGAACUGAGACACGGUCCAAACUCCUACGGGAGGCAGCAGUGAGGAAUAUUGGUCAAUGGGCGAGAGCCUGAACCAGCCAAGUAGCGUGAAGGAUGACUGCCCUAUGGGUUGUAAACUUCUUUUAUAAAGGAAUAAAGUCGGGUAUGGAUACCCGUUUGCAUGUACUUUAUGAAUAAGGAUCGGCUAACUCCGUGCCAGCAGCCGCGGUAAUACGGAGGAUCCGAGCGUUAUCCGGAUUUAUUGGGUUUAAAGGGAGCGUAGAUGGAUGUUUAAGUCAGUUGUGAAAGUUUGCGGCUCAACCGUAAAAUUGCAGUUGAUACUGGAUAUCUUGAGUGCAGUUGAGGCAGGCGGAAUUCGUGGUGUAGCGGUGAAAUGCUUAGAUAUCACGAAGAACUCCGAUUGCGAAGGCAGCCUGCUAAGCUGCAACUGACAUUGAGGCUCGAAAGUGUGGGUAUCAAACAGGAUUAGAUACCCUGGUAGUCCACACGGUAAACGAUGAAUACUCGCUGUUUGCGAUAUACAGCAAGCGGCCAAGCGAAAGCGUUAAGUAUUCCACCUGGGGAGUACGCCGGCAACGGUGAAACUCAAAGGAAUUGACGGGGGCCCGCACAAGCGGAGGAACAUGUGGUUUAAUUCGAUGAUACGCGAGGAACCUUACCCGGGCUUAAAUUGCAGAUGAAUUACGGUGAAAGCCGUAAGCCGCAAGGCAUCUGUGAAGGUGCUGCAUGGUUGUCGUCAGCUCGUGCCGUGAGGUGUCGGCUUAAGUGCCAUAACGAGCGCAACCCUUGUUGUCAGUUACUAACAGGUUCCGCUGAGGACUCUGACAAGACUGCCAUCGUAAGAUGUGAGGAAGGUGGGGAUGACGUCAAAUCAGCACGGCCCUUACGUCCGGGGCUACACACGUGUUACAAUGGGGGGUACAGAGGGCCGCUACCACGCGAGUGGAUGCCAAUCCCAAAAACCUCUCUCAGUUCGGACUGGAGUCUGCAACCCGACUCCACGAAGCUGGAUUCGCUAGUAAUCGCGCAUCAGCCACGGCGCGGUGAAUACGUUCCCGGGCCUUGUACACACCGCCCGUCAAGCCAUGGGAGCCGGGGGUACCUGAAGUGCGUAACCGCGAGGAGCGCCCUAGGGUAAAACUGGUGACUGGGGCUA